rnacentral:rRNA from 1 species
UACGUAGGGUGCAAGCGUUGUCCGGAAUUAUUGGGCGUAAAGAGCUCGUAGGCGGUUUGUCGCGUCUGCUGUGAAAACCCGAGGCUCAACCUCGGGCCUGCAGUGGGUACGGGCAGACUAGAGUGCGGUAGGGGAGAUUGGAAUUCCUGGUGUAGCGGUGGAAUGCGCAGAUAUCAGGAGGAACACCAAUGGCGAAGGCAGAUCUCUGGGCCGUAACUGACGCUGAGGCACGAAAGCGUGGGUAGCAAACAGG